GACAGCAGACGUUCCCAGGGUGACAGGAGGCCCGGCUUGGCGCUGCUGACCCCUUCUCUGGCUCUCCUGUCACGACCUCCUCUCCUUUCCAGGGCCAUGGUGCUCUGCUUGUCUUGUCCACAAACUGCAUAUGGUUUCCCCCCAUCAUGUGCCCCCUUGUAGUGCUAAAAGCUGUGCCCCCUCACCUACUGUGGACUCCUGGAAGAUGGCAGGUCUUCUAGGUGCGCAAGGGCCAAGUGGGUUCCUGAGCUCGAGUUCCAUCCUGUACCAAAGGGAGCUUUCGUGGGAAAAAUAAAAGAUGGUUCUGGCACCGAAAGCAGAUGAGAGGCAGCGGGUGUACUUGGAAGGGGAGGAGUUGUGGAGCUGAUUUUAUGCUCAACUAUUCACCUCAUCACCACUCCCGGAGGAAUUCUGUUUCCAAUUCAAAUACAGAUUCUCACCACUCAAGCAGGAUUUUAUUUUUCAACCACUUCGUUCACAUGCCUUUAGACAAAGACUCCUCAAGUCCCAUCUGGGGGUAUUAAAGUGAUGCACUGGGUGUGCCCGCCAAACUGCAGCUCUUAAGA